ensembl:snRNA U6 U6 spliceosomal RNA
GUGCUUGCUUCAGCAGCACAUACACUAAAAUUAGAAUGAUACAGAGAAGAUUAGCAUGGCCCCUGUGCAAGAAUGAUACCCAAAUUCAUGAAACAUUCCAUAUUUUU